rnacentral:rRNA from 1 species
GCGGAACUAUUAGUUUUGAACGUGGAUUGAGAACAAUGUACAAAUGUUAUCGAUAAACAAUUGGAGGGUCCACUCUGGUACCAGCAGCCGCGGCCACUCCAGAUCCAAUCUUGUUUAUUAUCGUUGUUGCAGUUAAAAAGCUUGUAGUUGAAUUGAAGUGAACUUGGGUUGAUGUGAUCUUCGGAUGACAUGAAUCAAAGUUGACUCUUUCCAAAGUCAAUACAUUGGUAUUCAUUUAUCUUUGUAUUGUGUUUGGUCAUUUACUGUGAGAAAAUUAGAGUGUUCAAAGCAGACGUUUGUUUGAAUACAUUAGCAUGGAAUAAUCAUAUAUGGCUUUCAUGUUGAUUUGAUUGGUUUGAAUAUGGAAGCAGGAUUAAAAGGGACAGCUGGGGGUAUUCAGAUUCAAUA